AGCAGCCGCGGUAAUUCCAGCUCCAAUAGCGUAUAUUAAAGUUGUUGCAGUUAAAAAGCUCGUAGUUGAAUUUCGGGGUUAGUAGGUUGGUCAUGCCUCUGGUAUGUACUGGUCUCACUGAUUCCUCCUUCCUGAUGAGCCGUAAUGCCAUUAAUUUGGUGUUGCGGGGAAUUUGGACUGUUACUUUGGAAAAAUUAGAGUGUUUAAAGCAAGCUAACGCUUGAAUACAUUAGCAUGGAAUAAUGAAAUAGGACGUUCGAUCCUAUUUUGUUGGUUUCUAGGAUUGACGUAAUGAUUAAUAGGGAUAGUUGGGGGCAUUAGUAUUCAAUUGUCAGAGGUGAAAUUCUUGGAUUUAUUGAAGACUAACUACUGCGAAAGCAUUUGCCAAGGAUGUUUUCAUUAAUCAAGAACGAAAGUUAGGGGAUCGAAGACGAUCAGAUACCGUCGUAGUCUUAACCAUAAACUAUGCCGACUAGGGAUCGGAUGAUGUUAAUUUUUAUGACUCAUU
rnacentral:rRNA from 1 species